ACGGAAGGCAGCAGUGGGGAAUAUUGGGCAAUGGGCGAAAGCCUGACCCAGCAACGCCGCGUGAAGGAAGAAGGUCUUCGGAUUGUAAACUUCUUUUAUGUGGGACGAACAAAUGACGGUACCACAUGAAUAAGCCACGGCUAACUACGUGCCAGCAGCCGCGGUAAUACGUAGGUGGCAAGCGUUAUCCGGAUUUACUGGGUGUAAAGGGCGCGUAGGCGGGGAUGCAAGUCAGGUGUGAAAUCUAUGGGCUUAACCCAUAAACUGCAUUUGAAACUGUAUCUCUUGAGUGUCGGAGAGGUAGAUGGAAUUCCUAGUGUAGCGGUGAAAUGCGUAGAUAUUAGGAGGAACACCAGUGGCGAAGGCGAUCUACUGGACGAUAACUGACGCUGAGGCGCGAAAGCGUGGGGAGCAAACAGGAUUAGAUACCCUGGUA
rnacentral:rRNA from 1 species